UCCCACAUAGUCUAUCGGUUAGGAUACUCCGCUUUCAUUCCUAGAUGACAUCCGGAGAGGGCCGAGUUCGAUUCUCGGUGUGGGAA
rnacentral:tRNA from 1 species